rnacentral:rRNA from 1 species
AUGUUAUGUAAACCUGCUGCUACAAGUCAUUCUAUGCAUAAUCUGGAAAUGUUCACUAAGAAUGUUUUCUUAUACAUGUCAUGCUCUAUCCAUCCAUGUCUCUGGUUGCAUUUAUAUCCUGCUGUAGCUUGUUGUAAUCUUGCUACAAAGUUGCUAAAUAAUGUUGUUGUCAGCCUGUUAACUUUAAGAUCAGUUUUACCAUGUGAUUUGCUAGUGCUCCAUGCACCCUAUGGACUUGAUCUUGCCAUGCUUAGCUUCAUAAAUGUGUCUUCUUACUGUUGGUUUCCUGGUCAUGCCAUGUAUUGCUCUGUGGUGAGUGGUACAAGCUCACCAAUAUGCCUACUUAUUGUUGUUCCUGCCAUGUUUGAAUCUGUCAUAUAA